GAUGAACGCUGGCGGCGUGCCUAACACAUGCAAGUCGAACGAAGCACCUUACUUGAUUCUUCGGAUGAAGGUCUGGUGACUGAGUGGCGGACGGGUGGGUAACGCGUGGGUAACCUGCCCUGUACAGGGGGAUAACAGUUGGAAACGGCUGCUAAUACCGCAUAAGCGCACGAGAGGACAUCCUCUUGUGUGAAAAACUCCGGUGGUACAGGAUGGGCCCGCGUCUGAUUAGCUGGUUGGCAGGGUAACGGCCUACCAAGGCGACGAUCAGUAGCCGGUCUGAGAGGAUGAACGGCCACAUUGGAACUGAGACACGGUCCAAACUCCUGCGGGAGGCAGCAGUGGGGAAUAUUGCACAAUGGGGGAAACCCUGAUGCAGCAACGCCGCGUGAGUGAAGAAGUAUUUCGGUAUGUAAAGCUCUAUCAGCAGGGAAGAUAAUGACGGUACCUGACUAAGAAGCUCCGGCUAAAUACGUGCCAGCAGCCGCGGUAAUACGUAUGGAGCAAGCGUUAUCCGGAUUUACUGGGUGUAAAGGGUGCGUAGGUGGCAGUGCAAGUCAGAUGUGAAAGGCCGGGGCUCAACCCCGGAGCUGCAUUUGAAACUGCAUAGCUGGAGUACAGGAGAGGCAGGCGGAAUUCCUAGUGUAGCGGUGAAAUGCGUAGAUAUUAGGAGGAACACCAGUGGCGAAGGCGGCCUGCUGGACUGUUACUGA
rnacentral:rRNA from 1 species